rnacentral:rRNA from 1 species
CCUACGGGGAGCAGCAGUGAGGAAUAUUGCACAAUGGGGGAAACCCUGAUGCAGCGACGCCGCGUGAGUGAAGAAGUAUUUCGGUACGUAAAGCUCUAUCAGCAGGGAAGAAAAUGACGGUACCUGACUAAGAAGCCCCGGCUAACUACGUGCCAGCAGCCGCGGUAAUACGUAGGGGGCAAGCGUUAUCCGGAUUUACUGGGUGUAAAGGGAGCGUAGACGGCAGCGCAAGUCUGGAGUGAAAUCCCAUGGCUUAACCAUGGAACUGCUUUGGAAACUGUGCAGCUAGAGUGCAGGAGAGGUAAGCGGAAUUCCUAGUGUAGCGGUGAAAUGCGUAGAUAUUAGGAGGAACACCAGUGGCGAAGGCGGCUUACUGGACUGUAACUGACGUUGAGGCUCGAAAGCGUGGGGAGCAAACAGGAUUAGAUACCCGAGUAGUC